AUUUUACUCCCUCCGUCCGGAAAUACUUGUCAUCAAAAUGAAUAAAAUGGGAUGUAUCUAGAUGUAUAUUAGUUCUAGAUACAUCCCUUUUUAUCCAUUUUGAUGACAAGUAUUUUCAGACGUAGGGAGUACUAU
rnacentral:pre_miRNA from 1 species